rnacentral:rRNA from 1 species
CUCAUUAAAUCAGUUAUAGUUUAUUUGAUGGUCUCUUUUGUCUUUUUUUACCUACUUGGAUAACCGUGGUAAUUCUAGAGCUAAUACAUGCGCAAGGUCCCGAGCGCGGGGGGCAGGGCUUCACGGCCCUGUCCUCGCAUGCGCAGAGGGAUGUAUUUAUUAGGUUAAAACCAGCGGCAGGGGUCAGCAAUGGCCCCUGCCAAACACUCCUGGUGAUUCAUAGUAACUCUUUCGGAUCGCAUUCAUG